UUAUGAGGAAGCCUCUGGCCUCUGCUUCAUCUGGAUCUUGGAGCCUUACCACCACCUCACUCUCUGCAGGUACUUGGGGUUAGAUGCUGACUGGAAUCUGCUUGUCCUCAACCAUAUCCAGUGUCCUUCCAUCUAUAGAUUUUUCUACUGUCACCUCAUGGGAAUACACAAGCCACCAAGUUUCCGCUGGGACAGGGGGAAGGAUGUCACCUAGAAGCCAGAGAUGGAGAAGUACCAGCUAAUUCCCUAACCACGUGAAUAAUCCCCAGCAUCUGUCUUCCAGCACUGAUGACAAAUUGGUUGCAAUACUCCCAAAGAUACAAAGAAGUACAGAUGCUCAAGUACCUUAUACAAAAGGUGGUAGCAAUUGCAUUGAGCCUAUUUAGCCUACACAGGUCCUUUGGUAUACUUUAAAAUGAAUCUCCUCUUGUUUACUUACAAUACCCAAUGCAAUGUAAGUCCUUGGUAAGUAGAGCUCAUAUUGUGUUACUAAGGGAAUGAGGACAAGGGAUAAUGUUGGUUUGGUACAUAGGCAUUUUUCCCUAAAUGGCUUUAUCCAUGGAUGGCUGAACCUGUAGAUGUGAAGCCCAUGGUGAAGGGUGCUGUAUAUGAACUGGUACCUAAGUCUCUCUUGGCCAGUCCACUCUGUGGUCAAGGGCUCAUCCACUUUCCAGCUAUCACAGUGCCCCUGACUCUAACUUAUCUUUAUGAGUUAAUAAUAUAUGCAACAAGCCUUACGUGGCAGUUAUGAUAAAUUUUAUAAAAGAAUAGAAUCAGAUCUCUCUUUUUAUUCACUGAAGAAUCCUUAGGAGAUGUUUUAAAGCCCGAUAGUUCAUAUAUGCACAACAACCUCAUGAAUUCCUUUAAAAAUAUCCAGUAUAAAACAAAAUGAGAAUCCAGCACUCCAUGUCACAACCAGGAAAAACAACAGCAGCAGCCUGAGGAGACUUAGGAUUGGGCUAAAAACCCUAUUUUUUGUACACUUUAUUUUGCAGCCUGCAGAAGAACCAAGCUCACGACCUACAAGGAACACUUUAUACCAGUAAAAGGGCACCCUGACAGUGGCAUGAUAUAUUUUCAUUCCUGGUUCCAGAACUAGCUGGAUCUUACAUGGGAACGUUCCUCCCAUUUCUUUAUAUUAGUUUUCCCUAAAAUAACAAGUUCAAAGCACCACAAAGUCAC